rnacentral:rRNA from 1 species
UACGGAGGGUGCGAGCGUUACUCGGAAUUACUGGGCGUAAAGCGUACGUAGGCUGUUUAGCAAGUUUGGUGUGAAAGCCCUCGACUCAAUCGAGGAAGUGCAUUGAAUACUGCUAGACUAGAGGAUUGGAGAGGAGAACGGAAUUCCUGGUGUAGAGGUGAAAUGCGUAGAUAUCUGGAGGAACACCAAUGGCGAAGGCAGCUUACUGGACGACAACUGACGCUGAGGCACGAAAGCGUGGGUAGCGAAAGGG